rnacentral:rRNA from 1 species
UACGAGUGGUGCAAGCGUUAUUCGGAAUCAUUGGGCGUAAAGGGUGUGUAGACGGCAUGCUAAGUCAAUUGUUAAAUUCUCCGGCCUAACCGGAGGCCAGCAGUAGAAACUGGCGUGCUAGAGGGUGGAAGAGAGAAGCGGAAUUCUCGGAGUAGCGGUAAAAUGCGUAGAUCUCGAGAGGAACACCAAUGGCGAAGGCAGCUUCUUGGUCCAUUUCUGACGUUGAAACACGAAAGCGUGGGGAGCAAACAGGAUUAGAUACCCUGGUAGUCCACGCCGUAAACGAUGAUCACUAGACGUUAGUCCUGUUUUUACGGGAUUAGUGUCGCAGCUAACGCGUUAAGUGAUCCGCCUGGGAACUACGGUCGCAAGAUUAAA